UUAGAUUAAAUUUUUAUUAAACUAAAUAACUCUAUUAGUUUUUAACCAUUAAUUGACCUCAUUUUAUUUACUAAAAAUUAAUGAAAAUUAUUAAAUUUGGUAGCACAAUUUGCAUAAAAAAAGGUCUAUUGGUUUUGUGUUUUAAUAAAAACAUACCACUUUUUUAAAUUUUGCAGAUUAGAUUUAGAUUUUCAGUAAACUGAUUACAAUAUCCUUAUUCCUCUUUCUCUAUCCUUUAUCUCUCUAAUUCAUUUUCUCCUCUCUAUUCAUUUCUUUCCUCCUUGCUGUCCCUUUCUCUCUUUCUCCUCCCACUUUCUCUCCUUCCUACUCAUGCAUCGCCCCUUUGUUGACUUUGCGCUACUCUCUCUUAUCUCACCCAUAUCUCUGCUGACGUUGGCGGCAUUGAAGUGAGUUCGGAUAUAGUACUGAUAGCGGAGGUAAGGCCGUGACAGAAGGUGUGGCCGUGGACGGCGACAGUGACGAGAAUGUCACAGGAAUUGGAGACAGUGGCGAGAAAGAGUGCAUCGGAGCGAGGAUAGUUGCUGCAGCAGAGGGCAAGGGAGGGGGCAUGGUAGUAGAAAAUGGUACAGAAGAUGAAGAAAAAAGAAAGAAUAAAAAAAUAAGAAUAAAAAAUAUUUUUUU
rnacentral:lncRNA from 1 species